GCCCUGUAGCUCAGUUGGUAGAGCAUGGUGUUUGCAACACCAGGGUUGUGGGUUUGAUUCCCAUGGGGGGCC
rnacentral:tRNA from 1 species